rnacentral:lncRNA from 1 species
CAUCAGAUUUAGACACCAAACCACAAGUAAAUCACCAAAUGUCCAUCUAGAGAGAGAAAGUGAUAGAGAGAGACGGAGUCCGUAGCAGCCCGUGUCUUCACUCCGUCGUCUCUGGCAGACGGUGGUGGUACUAAUUUCGCCGCCUUCCCAUCUUGCUGGUCAGUAGGUGGUGGAUGGUGGCGCCGCCGCCUCUGUCGGACGGUGGCGGUCCUGAAUCCGCCGCCUUCGCCAUGCUGCCAGGCGAUCGUUGGUGGCGGUUUCACAUGAGGGUUCCGGUGGUGUAUCGAUGGUGCUUUUGAUUUACUCAGCAAUAGGAACAAUGACCCACAUCUUUGGGAAACUACCUUAGACUAAUUUCCAAAGAGAGCUGCUCAUGGGGAGAAAUAUGCGCUCGCACUGCCACUGCCGCAUAAGCGUACCGUCAGUCUAACUCAGAUAAUGUUAAGCUUAGGUUGUUUAUAAAUGCAGUUUUGGCAUAGUUAUUGUUACAGUAUGGCGCCGUUUGUGGUGUUUACAAGUCAUAUAGUGGCAUGUGUUUUGAAUUGUAUUCUAAAACUUUUCCAG